rnacentral:rRNA from 1 species
AGGAUUAACGCUGGCGGCGUGCCUAACACAUGCAAGUCGAACGAGGUAGCAAUACCUAGUGGCAGACGGGUGAGUAACGCGUGGUCAACCUACCCUCGAGUGGGGGAUAACUAGCCGAAAGGCUAGCUAAUACCGCAUAAUACCGUAGCCGGCAUCGGCAUCGGUUGAAAGCAGCAAUGCACUCGGGGACGGGACCGCGUCCGAUUAGUUAGUUGGUGGGGUAACGGCCUACCAAGACUCCGAUCGGUAGCUGGUUUGAGAGAACGACCAGCCACACUGGGACUGAGAACGGCCCAGACUCCUACGGGAGGCAGCAGUGAGGAAUUUUCCGCAAUGGGCGAAAGCCUGACGGAGCGACGCCGCGUGUGGGAAGAAGGCCUUCGGGUCGUAAACCACUGUCGAGGGGGACGAUACUGACGGUACCCCUGGAGGAACGCCCCGGCUAACCGUACGUGCCAGCAGCCGC